rnacentral:misc_RNA from 1 species
UACGUAGGUGGCAAGCGUUGUCCGGAAUUAUUGGGCGUAAAGCGCGCGCAGGCGGUCUCUUAAGUCUGAUGUGAAAUCUCGUGGCUCAACCACGAGCGGUCAUUGGAAACUUGGAGACUUGAGUACAGAAGAGGAGAGUGGAAUUCCACGUGUAGCGGUGAAAUGCGUAGAUAUUCGGAGGAACACCAGUGGCGAAGGCGACUUUCUGGCCUGUAACUGACACUGAGGCGCGAAAGCGUGGGGAGCAAACAGG